AGAGGAUUUCUAUAUUCAACAGAGUAACUGAGAUUUUAUGAUUCUCUCUAGAUUCAUCAUCGUUUUUCAUAGUUAUAGAUCUAAAUCAUCAGAUUUAAACUUAACGGUGAUAGUAAUCAUUAGUAUUGAUCGAUUCAGGAUCAUUAUGUAUAUGUUGGUGUCGAUGAACCAGGCUUCAUUACCCCAAACAUCAUCUUCAUCGUGAUGUAAAUCUCAGGUUUUUGGGGAUGACGAUGAUGAACAUUCGGAAAGCACAUGUCUAACUGGGCACUCGCAAAGCACCGACGUCUGAGAAAGUUGUUUGAUGACAAGGAUGCCAGGCCGAAAUGUCCUCGAAGAUGGGUUAUUCUUCCUCCAUUCCUAUGAAAAUUUCAGUGAGAAACCUGCCUCCAGUUGGUAUCCAGUUACAAAGUAAGAUUAGUGAAUGCUCAGUACUCUCUGAAUAUAAACUGAUUCAUGUUGAUUAAGUCUAUUUCCGAUUCUGUAUCCUUAUCAUGUCUUACCAAAUUCCUAGUUAAUCUGAAUUAGAUCAGAUUCUACAGGUUUUGCAGAAAAGUUAGACCUUCAAUUUCUUGUUGUUAAAGUAGAGAUUGCAUUUUAUUCGUGUAACUUACUGUA